GGUGAGUUGGUUUGUCUAUAAUGUCUGACUUUAGCGUCGAGCUAGCCGUGAAGACAGGUGAGUUGGUUUGUCUAUAAUGUCUGACUUUAGCGUCGAGCUAGCCGUGAAGACAGGUGAGUUGGUUUGUCUAUAUCGUCUGACUUUAGCGUCGAGCUAGCCGUGAAGACAGGUGAGUUGGUUUGUCUAUAAUGUCUGACUUUAGCGUCGAGCUAGCCGUGAAGACAGGUGAGUUGGUUUGUCUAUAAUGUCUGACUUUAGCAUCGAGCUAGCCGUGAAGACAGGUGAGUUGGUUUGUCUAUAAUGUCUGACUUUAGCAUCGAGCUAGCCGUGAAGACAGGUGAGUUGGUUUGUCUAUGUUGUCUGACUUUGUUUCUACUUUGUUUAUGUGUUUGUGUGUAUUUGCAUCUUCUCAUGGGGAGUUUGGUAUUUUUCUGUGUCUUUAGAUCCCAUCACUUCCUUACCGACGAACAGGUGGGCUCAGUCAGGUCUUCCUGAGGGACAUCUUGUUGUCCUCGUCUGCUCUGUGUUGGUCAGCACCUGGGGAUGAAUAGCACAAAUACUGUGAAAAUAAAGAACAGAUUGAGAUUACAUUUUUUUAUAUAAAUAUUGUAAUUAGAAAUAAUAAAGAAUAUACGCUUCAUAAACGUUGUACUCUGAAACAUUAACUCUGUUCAUUAAAUAGUAGUUGUGUGUGUGUGUGUGUGUGUGUAACAGUUUCAGCUAACCAGUGUGGUGCUGUAUGCAGAGUCACAGUUCAUGACAGCUCAGAACAUUCCACACAGCCUUAGACCGCAGGCUUAGGAGCAAUGUCAGCAUGUUACUGAGUACUGACAUGAAUAGGGCCCUGGUCAAAACUAGUGCACUAUAUAGGGAAUAGGGCUCUGGUCUGUAGUAGUACCACUAUAUAGGGAAUAG
rnacentral:lncRNA from 1 species